rnacentral:misc_RNA from 1 species
ACCUUAAGAAUGAGCUGGGAUUAAACCAUACUUGAUUAAUGGUAGGAAGUAUAGAAUGAAGAAAAGUGGGCCUUACGUAUAUAAUUGUAUUAGCAGCAACAAGUGCUGCUGUAACAGGGGCUUUUCUAUCCAGCCUGUAAUAUUCGGUCACUGUAUGCAGCCUAAAAGAGGUAGCAUCCCACGUGAAACUGAACUCCAUCUUCCCCUUCCUCUUUCCAUUCUUGAAUUUGUAUUAACAACAAACUUCUCACUGUCACCAAAAUUUGAAGGGAUUCGAAUUUCCCCAGAAACUUCUUCUCCCUUCCUGUAAUUUCGAUUGAUG